GUGUCAGCAGCCGCGGUAAUACGUGGGGUGCAAGCGUUGUUCGGAAUUACUGGGCGUAAAGCGCGUGUAGGCUGCUUUUUAUGUCAGGUGUGAAAGCCCUCGGCCUAACCGAGGAAGUGCGCCUGAAACUGAAAAGCUUGAGUACGAGAGAGGGGGACGGAAUUCCCAGUGUAGAGGUGAAAUUCGUAGAUAUUGGGAGGAACACCGGCGGCGAAAGCGGUUCCCUGGAUCGAUACUGACGCUAAGACGCGAAAGCGUGGGGAUCAAACAGGAUUAGAAACCCCCGUAGUCC
rnacentral:rRNA from 1 species